rnacentral:sRNA from 1 species
GCGGCCGCCGCGGUCGCUGCCGCCGCCGCCUCAGCAGCCGCCGCCGCCGCCGCGCACUUUCAGCCUCAGUCGUCGUCUCCCAGGCCGGGCCCCGCCGAGCUCGGGCCCCCGCGCCGCCCGCGCCCCCCACCGCCGCCGUCCCGGUCGGAGCCCGCCGCCACGGACCGCCUCAGCCCUCCGGGCCACGGGCCUCUCCGGGCGGGCGCCCAGGGUGGCGGCGCCUGCGGCCGAGCGCCGGGAGCAGGUAGUGUUGGUGCUUCUUUUCAGUGCCAGUCCAUCCAUCACGACCACAUUUGUCAUGAUGACAGUGACAAGAUAUCUCCCGGGGCCAAUUCAGCAUCUCUACCUGGCCAUCCUAACAAGGUGAUUUGUGAAAGGGUGAGACUUCAGAGCCUGUUCCCUCUCCUCCCAAGUGAUCAGAACACUACCGUUCAAGAGGAUGCUCACUUCAAAGCUUUCUUCCAGAGUGAAGAUAGUCCAAGUCCUAAGAGACAGCGCCUCUCUCAUUCAGUCUUUGAUUAUACAUCAGCAUCACCAGCUCCCUCACCACCAAUGCGACCAUGGGAGAUGACAUCAAAUAGGCAG